rnacentral:tmRNA from 1 species
GGGGCUGAUUCUGGAUUCGACGGGAUUUGCGAAACCCAAGGUGCAUGCCGAGGGGCGGUUGGCCUCGUAAAAAGCCGCAAAAAAAUAGUCGCAAACGACGAAAACUACGCUUUAGCAGCUUAAUAACCUGCUUAGAGCCCUCUCUCCCUAGCCUCCGCUCUUAGGACGGGGAUCAAGAGAGGUCAAACCCAAAAGAGAUCGCGCGGAUGCCCUGCCUGGGGUUGAAGCGUUAAAACGAAUCAGGCUAGUCUGGUAGUGGCGUGUCCGUCCGCAGGUGCCAGGCGAAUGUAAAGACUGACUAAGCAUGUAGUACUGAGGAUGUAGGAAUUUCGGACGCGGGUUCAACUCCCGCCAGCUCCACCA